rnacentral:rRNA from 1 species
AUGAUAUCAUGGGCNNNNNNNNNNNNNNGGUUUAUACUUUUUGUUCUUCGAUCUGGGUUCGAUCACCAAGCCAAAAGGGAUGAGCUUGGUGCAUCAGAGAGCACACAUGGAUGUGUGCCCUUUGUUUGGGUCCUUGAAGUAGGCCUUUUUAGAAGCACAAAGGAGAUGUGGAGAUUUGGGUUAAACUCUCCAUGUGUUUGUACAAACGAAACAGUUAUAUUGAUUGUUGAUCACUUAUCAUCAUGCAUGUUUUUGCUGGGGGGCUUUCCUUCCGGUUUCCCCUUGGCAUGUGCUUUUGUAUUCAAGUUGUCAUAG